GACAGAGGGUGCAAACGUUGUUCGGAAUUACUGGGCGUAAAGCGCGUGUAGGCGGCCCUGUAAGUCGGGUGUGAAAUCCCACGGCUCAACCGUGGAAGUGCAUUCGAAACUACAGGGCUAGAGUUCUGGAGAGGAAGGUGGAAUGCUUGGUGUAGAGGUGAAAUUCGUAGAUAUCAAGCGGAACACCGGUGGCGAAGGCGGCCAACUGGACGAUUACUGACGCUGAGACUCGAAAGCGUGGGGAGCAAACAGG
rnacentral:rRNA from 1 species